rnacentral:rRNA from 1 species
UGCAAGUCGAGCGGACAGAUGGGAGCUUGCUCCCUGAUGUUAGCGGCGGACGGGUUGAGUAACACGUGGGUAACCUGCCUGUAAGACUGGGAUAACUCCGGGAAACCGGGGCUAAUACCGGAUGGUUGUUUGAACCGCAUGGUUCAGACAUAAAAGGUGGCUUCGGCUACCACUUACAGAUGGACCCGCGGCGCAUUAGCUAGUUGGUGAGGUAACGGCUCACCAAGGCGACGAUGCGUAGCCGACCUGAGAGGGUGAUCGGCCACACUGGGACUGAGACACGGCCCAGACUCCUACGGGAGGCAGCAGUAGGGAAUCUUCCGCAAUGGACGAAAGUCUGACGGAGCAACGCCGCGUGAGUGAUGAAGGUUUUCGGAUCGUAAAGCUCUGUUGUUAGGGAAGAACAAGUGCCGUUCAAAUAGGGCGGCACCUUGACGGUACCUAACCAGAAAGCCACGGCUAACUACGUGCCAGCAGCCGCGGUAAUACGUAGGUGGCAAGCGUUGUCCGGAAUUAUUGGGCGUAAAGGGCUCGCAGGCGGUUUCUUAAGUCUGAUGUGAAAGCCCCCGGCUCAACCGGGGAGGGUCAUUGGAAACUGGGGAACUUGAGUGCAGAAGAGGAGAGUGGAAUUCCACGUGUAGCGGUGAAAUGCGUAGAGAUGUGGAGGAACACCAGUGGCGAAGGCGACUCUCUGGUCUGUAACUGACGCUGAGGAGCGAAAGCGUGGGGAGCGAACAGGAUUAGAUACCCUGGUAGUCCACGCCGUAAACGAUGAGUGCUAAGUGUUAGGGGGUUUCCGCCCCUUAGUGCUGCAGCUAACGCAUUAAGCACUCCGCCUGGGGAGUACGGUCGCA